rnacentral:rRNA from 1 species
UGGGGAAUAUUGCACAAUGGGCGCAAGCCUGAUGCAGCCAUGCCGCGUGUGUGAAGAAGGCCUUCGGGUUGUAAAGCACUUUCAGCGAGGAGGAAGGUGGUGAACUUAAUACGUUCAUCAAUUGACGUUACUCGCAGAAGAAGCACCGGCUAACUCCGUGCCAGCAGCCGCGGUAAUACGGAGGGUGCAAGCGUUAAUCGGAAUUACUGGGCAUAAAGCGCACGCAGGCGGUUUGUUAAGUCAGAUGUGAAAUCCCCGGGCUCAACCUGGGAACUGCAUUUGAAACUGGCAAGCUAGAGUCUCGUAGAGGGGGGUAGAAUUCCAGGUGUAGCGGUGAAAUGCGUAGAGAUCUGGAGGAAUACCGGUGGCGAAGGCGGCCCCCUGGACGAAGACUGACGCUCAGGUGCGAAAGCGUGGGGAGCAAACAGAUUAGAUACCCUGGUAGUCCACGCUGUAAACGAUGUCGAUUUUGGAGGUUGUGCCCCUGAGGCGUGGNUUCCGGAGCUAACG